CAGUCGCCACGGUAAUACGUAGGGUACAAGCGUUAAUCGGAAUUACUGGGCGUAAAGCGUGCGCAGGCGGUUAUAUAAGUCAGAUGUGAAGUCCCCGGGCUCAACCUAGGAACUGCAUUUGAAACUGUCAGGCUGGAGUCUUGUAGAGGGGGGUAGAAUUCCAGGUGUAGCGGUGAAAUGCGUAGAGAUCUGGAGGAAUACCGGUGGCGAAGGCGGCCCCCUGGACAAAGACUGACGCUCAGGUGCGAAAGCGUGGGGAGCAAACAGGAUUAGAUACCCAGUAGUCCCUGUCUCUUAUACA
rnacentral:rRNA from 1 species